rnacentral:ncRNA from 1 species
AAAAACUCAAUGAAAAAGAGAGUAGUUUAAGGAAGUAUCAAGCGAGCUAACGUUGGUGUGAGGUUAGUAUACUGAUUUAGAUGAACCGCACUUUGGAGAGCAAUAUCUGAAUUGAGUAGGAUAAUGAGUCAGUCUGCUUUAAAGACAAGAGGGGAUAUAUCUUUGAUAUAUCAACAAGAGUGGUACCGCGGAAUCUUUCGUCUCUUAG